UCAAUGGAAGCUCCUUGUGUCUGGCA
rnacentral:piRNA from 1 species